rnacentral:rRNA from 1 species
UACAGAGGAGCCAAGCGUUGUCCGGAUUGACUGGGCGUAAAGCGCACGCAGGCGGACGCGCGCGUGGGGUGUGAAAUCUGGCCGCUUAACGGCCAGGCGCCAUCCCAUACGGCGUGUCUGGAGUGAUGCAGAGGUCGGUGGAAUUGCCGGUGUAGUGGUGAAAUGCGUAGAGAUCGGGAGGAACAUCAGUGGCGAAGGCGGCCAUCUGGGACAACACUGACGCUGAAGCACGAAAGCGUGGGGAGCAAACGGG